GAAAAGAAACCAACAGGGAUUGCCCCAGUAACGGCGAGUGAAGCGGCAACAGCUCAAAUUUGAAAUCUGGUCCCCAGGGCCCGAGUUGUAAUUUGUAGAGGAUGCUUUUGGCGAGGCGCCUUCCGAGUUCCCUGGAACGGGACGCCACAGAGGGUGAGAGCCCCGUCUGGUCGGAUGCCAAGCCUAUGUAAAGCUCCUUCGACGAGUCGAGUAGUUUGGGAAUGCUGCUCAAAAUGGGAGGUAUAUGUCUUCUAAAGCUAAAUAUUGGCCAGAGACCGAUAGCGCACAAGUAGAGUGAUCGAAAGAUGAAAAGCACUUUGAAAAGAGGGUUAAAAAGUACGUGAAAUUGUUGAAAGGGAAGCGCCUAUGACCAGACUUGGGCCCGGUGAAUCAUCCAGCGUUCUCGCUGGUGCACUUUGCCGGGCACAGGCCAGCAUCAGUUUGGCGCGGGGGAUAAAGGUUUCGGGAACGUGGCUCCCUCGGGAGUGUUAUAGCCCGUUGCGUAAUACCCUGCGCCGGACUGAGGUACGCGCUCCGCAAGGAUGCUGGCGUAAUGGUCAUCAGCGACCCGUCUUGAAACACGG
rnacentral:rRNA from 1 species